rnacentral:rRNA from 1 species
GUGACGCUACGGGAGCUACACAUGCACGCGAGCGGUAGAGUCUCUUCGGAGACUUGACGAGCGGCGCACGGGUGCGGAACACGUGUGCAACCUGCCUUUAUCUGGGGGAUAGCCUUUCGAAAGGAAGAUUAAUACCCCAUAAUAUACUGAAUGGCAUCAUCCUGGUAUUGAAAACUCCGGUGGAUAGAGAUGGGCACGCGCAAGAUUAGAUAGUUGGUGAGGUAACGGCUCACCAAUGUCAGCGAUCUUUAGGGGGCCUGAGAGGGUGAUCCCCCACACUGGUACUGAGACACGGACCAGACUCCUACGGGAGGCAGCAGUGAGGAAUAUUGGACAAUGGGUGAGAGCCUGAUCCAGCCAUCCCGCGUGAAGGACGACGGCCCUAUGGGUUGUAAACUUCUUUUGUAUAGGGAUAAACCUAGAUACGUGUAUCUAGCUGAAGGUACUAUACGAAUAAGCACCGGCUAACUCCGUGCCAGCAGCCGCGGUAAUACGGAGGGUGCAAGCGUUAUCCGGAUUUAUUGGGUUUAAAGGGUCCGUAGGCNGAUCUGUAAGUCAGUGGUGAAAUCUCACAGCUUAACUGUGAAACUGCCAUUGAUACUGCAAGUCUUGAGUGUUGUUGAAGUAGCUGGAAUAAGUAGUGUAGCGGUGAAAUGCAUAGAUAUUACUUAGA